AUGUUCAAUAAGAGGGACAGGAGGACAGGACAUUUGUGUUGGGCAGGGCUCAGGUUCAAUAAGAGGGACAGGAGGACAGGACAUUUGUGUUGGGCAGGGCUCAGGUUCAAUAAGAGGGACAGGAGGACAGGACAUUUGUGUUUGGCAGGGCUCAGGUUCAAUAAGAGGGACAGGAGGACAGGACAUUUGUGUUGGGCAGAGCUCAGAUUCAAUAAGAGGGACAGGAGGACAGGACAUUUGUGUUGGGCAGGGCUCAGGUUCAAUAAUAGGGACAGGAGGACAGGACAUUUGUGUUGGGCAGAGCUCAGGUUCAAUAAGAGGGACAGGAGGACAGGCCAUUUGUGUUGGGCAGGGCUCAGGUUCAAUAAGAGGGACAGGAGGACAGGACAUUUGUGUUGGGCAGAGCUCAGGUUCAAUAAGAGGGACAGGAGGACAGGACAUUUGUGUUGGGCAGGGCUCAGGUUCAAUAAGAGGGACAGGAGGACAGGACAUUUGUGUUGGGCAGGGCUCAGGUUCAAUAAGAGGGACAGGAGGACAGGACAUUUGUGUUGGGCAGGGCUCAGGUUCAAUAAGAGGGACAGGAGGACAGGACAUUUGUGUUGGGCAGAGCUCAGGUUCAAUAAGAGGGACAGGAGGACAGGACAUUUGUGUUGGGCAGGGCUCAGGUUCAAUAAGAGGGACAGGAGGACAGGACAUUUGUGUUGGCUAGAGCUCAGGUUCAAUAAGAGGGACAGGAGGACAGGACAUUUUUUGGGGGCAGAGCUCAGGUUCAAUAAGAGGGACAGGAGGACAGGACAUUUGUGUUGGGUAGAGCUCAGGUUCAAUAAGAGGGACAGGAGGACAGGACAGUUGUGUUGGGCAGAGCUCAGGUUCAUUAAGAGGGACAGGAGGACAGGACAUUUGUGUUGGGCAGGGCUCAGGUUCAAUAAAAGAGACAGGAGGACAGGACAUUUGUGUUGGGCAGGGCUCAGGUUCAAUAAAAGGGACAGGAGGACAGGACAUUUGUGUUGGGCAGGGCUCAGGUUCAAAAAAAGGGACAGGAGGACAGGACAUUUGUGUUGGGCAGGGCUCAGAUUCAAGAGUCAUGGUUGA
rnacentral:lncRNA from 1 species